CAGCAGUGGGGAAUUUUGGACAAUGGGGGAAACCCUGAUCCAGCCAUCCCGCGUGUGCGAUGAAGGCCUUCGGGUUGUAAAGCACUUUUGGCAGGAAAGAAACGUCAUGGGUUAAUACCCCGUGAAACUGACGGUACCUACAGAAUAAGCACCGGCUAACUACGUGCCAGCAGCCGCGGUAAUACGUAGGGUGCAAGCGUUAAUCGGAAUUACUGGGCGUAAAGCGUGCGCAGGCGGUUCGGAAAGAAAGAUGUGAAAUCCCAGAGCUUAACUUUGGAACUGCAUUUUUAACUACCGAGCUAGAGUGUGUCAGAGGGAGGUGGAAUUCCGCGUGUAGCAGUGAAAUGCGUAGAUAUGCGGAGGAACACCGAUGGCGAAGGCAGCCUCCUGGGAUAACACUGACGCUCAUGCACGAAAGCGUGGGGAGCAAACAGGAUUAGAUACCCUGGUAGUCCACGCCCUAAACGAUGUCAACUAGUUGUUGGGGAUUCAUUUUCUCAGUAACGUAGCUAACGCGUGAAGUUGACCGCCUGGGGAGUACGGUCGCAAGAUUAAAACUCAAAGGAAUUGACGG
rnacentral:rRNA from 1 species